rnacentral:rRNA from 1 species
UACGAAGGGGGCUAGCGUUGCUCGGAAUCACUGGGCGUAAAGGGUGCGUAGGCGGUGCGGUAAGUCACCUGUGAAAUCUCCUGGCUCAACUGGGAGCUUGCAGGCGAAACUGCCGUGCUGGAGUGUGGGAGAGGUGCGUGGAAUUCCUGGUGUAGCGGUGAAAUGCGUAGAUAUCAGGAGGAACACCUGUGGCGAAAGCGGCGCACUGGACCACAACUGACGCUGAGGCGCGAAAGCUAGGGGAGCAAACAGG